AUAGCGUAUAUUAAAGUUGUUGCAGUUAAAAAGCUCGUAGUUGGAUUUCAAGAGACGCAACGUGGAUAACACGUCUGCUCUCUACCAGUCUUUGACUGUUACUGUGAGAAAAUUAGAGUGUUUCAAGCAGGCUAUUGCAGGAAUACAUUAGCAUGGAAUAACGAAUGUGUCUAGAAUCUUGGUUAAUUCUAGAUUACGAUUAAUAGGGACAGUUGGGGGCAUUAGUAUUUAAUUGUCAGAGGUGAAAUUCUUGGAUUUGUUAAAGACUAACGUAUG
rnacentral:rRNA from 1 species